CCUAAGGUCUGUGUCAUGUACGGUUGUUCCUGCCGCUGUAAUGGCGAGAAAGAUAAAUGUUAUUUUCGUGUUUCGAAGGUAGUUGCUCAGAAGGGAGUUCAUUUUUGAAAAACUUACCGAAAAAACAGGAGAAGAGUGGAUCAAUGAUCUACGGCUGAAAAAAAAGGAGGAGCAGAAACUAACAACACCAGAUGCGGCGCCCACUUUCUAACAGUGGAGUAAAAGCGUGUUUCCAGAGCCACAAAGUGAACGGCUGAGGAGAGUCCAGCCACAGCUCCUCAACCCCCACCACCACCACCACCACCACCAGAGGGUGUCUGCUGGAGCUCCACACUCCAGCAGACACCCAAAAUGCCCUCCACCUCAGUCACUGAAGUUAACCGUGGAGCUCUGAUUGGUCGGAGCUGAGAGUGACCGCACAGCUGGAGGGAGGCGGAUGGCUCGCAAACUCCUUUCAAAUGUCAGAGACUUCUCUCUGGUCUGCUUCUGUUUUUCUGGAUGAACACCUUAAAAACAAAAUGACACCUGCAGUUUACUGAGUCGAUGAGCGAUUCAAGAUAAAGCCACAAUCAGUUCAAAAGUCAUUGAAUUUGCUCCCAGAAUGACCAAACUCUGCAAAAACACAAAAUCUUACCAAAUAAUUUUGUCUAGUUUCUAGUGCAAAUAUCUUGGCACACUUGAAAUAAGACAAACUAUCUUACAAGUAACUUUUCAGCAAGAAA